GUGGCUCAGUGGUACAGUGCAGGACUUAUAAUCAUGAAGUCCUGGGUUCGAUCCCAAGC
rnacentral:tRNA from 1 species